UACGUAGGGCGCAAGCGUUGUCCGGAUUCAUUGGGCGUAAAGAGCUCGUAGGCGGCUUGGCAAGUCGGGUGUGAAAACUCCAGGCUCAACCUGGAGACGCCACCCGAUACUGCCAUGGCUUGAGUCCGGUAGGGGACCACGGAAUUCCUGGUGUAGCGGUGAAAUGCGCAGAUAUCAGGAGGAACACCGGUGGCGAAGGCGGUGGUCUGGGCCGGUACUGACGCUGAGGAGCGAAAGCGUGGGGAGCGAACAGG
rnacentral:rRNA from 1 species